rnacentral:rRNA from 1 species
AUUGAACGCUGGCGGCAUGCUUUACACAUGCAAGUCGAACGGUAACAGGUUAAGCUGACGAGUGGCGAACGGGUGAGUAAUGCAUCGGAACGUGCCCGAUCGUGGGGGAUAACGCAGCGAAAGCUGCGCUAAUACCGCAUACGAUCUGAGGAUGAAAGCGGGGGACCGUAAGGCCUCGCGCGAUCGGAGCGGCCGAUGUCAGAUUAGGUAGUUGGUGGGGUAAAGGCCCACCAAGCCGACGAUCUGUAGCUGGUCUGAGAGGACGACCAGCCACAGUGGGACUGAGCAACGGCCCAGACUCCUACGGGAGGAGGCAGUGGGGAAUUUUGGACAAUGGGCGAAAGCCUGAUCCAGCAAUGCCGCGUGCAGGAAGAAGGCCUUCGGGUUGUAAACUGCUUUUGUACGGAGCGAAAAGGUCCUUUCUAAUACAAGGGGCUCAUGACGGUACCGUAAGAAUAAGCACCGGCUAACUACGUGCCAGCCGCCGCCGUAA